UAACCUGCCUUGGAGUGGGGAAUAACAGCUGGAAACAGCUGCUAAUACCGCAUGAUGCAGUUGGGUCGCAUGGCUCUGACUGCCAAAGAUUUAUCGCUCUGAGAUGGACUCGCGUCUGAUUAGCUAGUUGGCGGGGCAACGGCCCACCAAGGCGACGAUCAGUAGCCGGACUGAGAGGUUGGCCGGCCACAUUGGGACUGAGACACGGCCCAGACUCCUACGGGAGGCAGCAG
rnacentral:rRNA from 1 species